UACGUAGGCAGCAAGCGUUGUUCGGAGUUACUGGGCGUAAAGGGUGUGUAGGCGGUCUUCUAAGUUUGGUGUGAAACUCUCCCGGCUCAACUGGGAGGGUGCGCCGAAAACUGGGAGGCUAGAGUGACGGGAUGGGAGAGUGGAAUUCCUGGUGUAGCGGUGAAAUGCGUAGAUAUCAGGAGGAACACCUGUGGUGUAGACGGCUCUCUGGACCGACAACUGGACGCUGAGACACGAAAGCGUGGGUAGCAAACAGG
rnacentral:rRNA from 1 species